rnacentral:rRNA from 1 species
GAUGAACGCUGGCGGCGUGCUUAAUACAUGCAAGUCGAGCGGACGGACGAGAAGCUUGUUUCUCUCUUGUUUGCGGCGGACGGGUGUGUAACACGUGUAUCACCUCCCUAUCAUACUAGUAUCACUUCGGGAAACCGUAGCUUAUACCGUAUAAUAUUUUGAUCCGCAUGGUUCAUUAGUGAAAUACGGUCUUUCUGUCACUUAUAGCUGGAUCCCGGCUGCUUUAGCUAGUUGGUAAGGUAACGGCUUAUCACGGCAACGAUGCAUAGCCGACCUGAGAGGGGGAUAGGCCACACGGGAACUGAGACGGCGUCAUGAGGACUACGGGAGGCCGCAGUAGGGAAUCGGACGCAAUGGGCGAAAGCAUGACGGAGCAGGGCGGCGUGAGAGAUGAAGGUCUUCGGAUCGUAAAACUGUGUUAUGAGGGAAGAACAUAUGUGGAAGGAACUGUGCACAUAGUGACGGUACCUAAUCAGAAAGCAACGGCUAACUACGUG